rnacentral:rRNA from 1 species
UACGGAGGGAGCUAGCGUUGUUCGGAAAUACUGGGCGUAAAGCGCACGUAGGCGGCGCAGCAAGUCAGGGGUGAAAUCCCGGGGCUCAACCCCGGAACUGCCCUUGAAACUGCAGUGCUAGAAUUCUGGAGAGGCGAGUGGAAUUCCGAGUGUAGAGGUGAAAUUCGUAGAUAUUCGCAAGAACACCAGUGGCGAAGGCGGCUCACUGGCCCGGUACUGACGCUGAGGUGCGAAAGCGUGGGGAGCAAACAGG